GCCCUAACGACGACCAAUACCAGUCAGUGUUGGGGCGCUGGCAGUCAGAGCCGCGGAGCGAGAAACUAAUAGCAGUCCGGUCAAGAGCUCCGACCUUUGGGAUCCAGAACUGGACCUUGGGCAUGUUGAUAGCAUUUUGAAGGUGAGAACUGCUGAGAGAAGGAAGCACAGGGAUAGAGUUUCUGGUCAGACAGAGGUCAUUGCGAGAGAACAGCUCCAACCGCAAUAUUUAAUGCAUCUGCUUCAACGAUGAAUGGCAGCUCUGGGUCAGGAAGAACAAUGGGAGCCGUUGUGAAGCAACUCUUCAAUUUAUGGAAAGCAAUUUCUGUUGUCCAGCAAAAUGAUCUGGAGGUUCCCCUUGUCAGAGCAGUAAGGGAUACUACGAUGCAACUGAAGUUGUCAAUGAGUGUCCGGUAAAAAUUAGCAAACCCCAGAACUGCUGGAACUGCUUGAUCAUGGUGGGUUGCAGCCAGUCCCUGAUGGCCUGGGUCUUUCUGGGGUCCAUCUGCAGAUUCCCCUUGGAGACAGUAAACCUGAGGAAGGAGAUUGUGGAGACAUGAAGCUCACUCUUUGGAUUCUCCAGUUUGACAAAUAGUUGUUUCUGGAAUAAACGUUAAAGAACUCGUCGAGCGUGUCUGUGGUAGAUUUUGGAGAUGAUGAUUGUAUCAUCCAGAAGACAUAGUAAUUUAGCAUUUCUCAGAGAACAUUGAUGAUAAAGACCUGGAAGACCACCGGGGCAUUAACU